rnacentral:lncRNA from 1 species
GUGUAGAGGAAGGGGCGCACAAGGGAUAAGGUGGUGCAUGGAUUGGUUGCCCAUUCAAAUUCAAAGGAAGUUUGAAUUUGAAUGGCCAACCAACCUAUCUUUAUCCACUUAGAUGGUGCACACAGGUGGGGCAUGGGAAGGCUUCUGCAUGGGAAAAAAUUCAUGAGAACUUGUUUCUCGUGAAUUCAAAAAGGCACAGGUGAGGUGAGGUGGC